GAUGAAGAACGUAGCGAAAUGCGAUACUUGGUGUGAAUUGCAGAAUCCCGUGAACCAUCGAGUCUUUGAACGCAAGUUGCGCCCGAAGCCAUCAGGUUGAGGGCACGUCUGCCUGGGCGUCACAUAUCGUUGCCCAAUGCCUAUUGCAGUGCAAUAGGAAUUUCUAGGGCGAAUGAUGGCUUCCCGUGAGCGUUGUUGCCUCGCGGUUGGUUGAAAAUCGAGUCCUUGGUAGGGUGUGCCAUGGUAGAUGGUGGUCGAGUUAGAACGAUACCGAUCAUGUGCAUGCUCCCCAAAAUAUGGCCUCUAUGACCCACACGCGUCUUUUGACGCUCAUGACGAGACCUCAGGUCAGGCUGGGCUACCCGCUGAAUUUAAGCAUAUCAAUAAGCGGAGGA
rnacentral:misc_RNA from 1 species